UCCCACAGUUGACAGUGCAUGUGAGAGCACAAACCAAGCCAUGAAGUCCAAGGAAUUGUCUGUAGACCUCCAAGACUGAAUUGUGUCGAGGUACAGAUCUGGGAAAGGGUACAAAAAAAUGUCUGCAGCAUUGAAGGUCCCGACGAGCACAGUGGUCUCCAUCAUUCGCAAAUGGAAGAAGUUUGGAACCACCAGGACUCUUCCUAGAGCUAGCCGCCCGGCCAAACUGAGCAAUCGUGGGAGAAAGGCCUUGGUCAGGGAGGUGACCAAGAACCCGAUGGUCACUUUGACAGAGCUCCAGAGAUCCUCUGGAGAUGGGAGAACCUUCCAGAAGGACAACCAUCUCUGCAGCACUCCACCAAUCAUGGCCUUUAUGGUAGAGUGGCCAGACGGAAUCCACUCCACAGUAAAAGGCACAUGACAGCCCGCAUGGAGUUUGCCAAAAGGCACCUAAAAGGACUCUCGGACCAUGAGAAACAAAACGAUCUGGUCUGAUUAAGAUUGAACUCUUUGGCCUGAAUGGCAAGAGUCAUGUCUGGAGGAAAACCUGCUCUGGACCUCAGACUGGGGCGAUUGUUCACCUUCCAACGGUCCUAAGCACACACCCAAGAUAACAAAGGAGUGGCUUCGGGAUAAGUCUGUGAACGUUCUUGAGUGGCUCAGCCAGAGCCCAGACUUGACCCCGAUUGAACAUCUUUGGAGAGAUCUGAAAAUGGCUCUGCACCGACGCUCCCCAUCAAACCUGAUGGAGCUUGAGACGAUCUGCAAAGAAGAAUGGGAGAAACUGCCCCAAAAUAGGUGUGCCAAGCUUAUAGCAUCAAGACUUGAGGCUGUAAUUGUUUCAACAAAGUAUUGAGUAAAGGAUGUGAUAUUUUAGGGUUUUAUUUUUAAUAAAUUGGCAAAAUGUCAUUAUGCAGUAUUGUGUAGAAUGUUGAGGAAAAAACAAUUUAAUCCAUUUUGGAAUAAGGAUGCAACAUAACAAAAUGUGGAAAAAGUGAAGGGGUAUGAAUAAUUUCCGGAUGCACUGUACAUCCUAGCCCUCUUCCAGUGCAUCUCUGCUGGGGAGAAGAUCCAAGAAUGUUCCAUCCAUGAAAAGCCACUCGAGAGAGAAUCAAGUGCAGAGUUUAUUUCUGUCGGUGAGUCACACUAUUGAGUCUUAAUACCAGCAGUGUGGCAGAUUAACCUAAAAGAAUGAGUCACACAAUAAGUACGCACUUAGAAAUUAAGUUGGAAGUAACACACUUUUGACCUAUUUUUUUGUAUAGUUAAAUAUUGUGUUUGAGUGAUUUCAUUAAGUUAUGGAGAGCAGGCAUCCAUAACAGAUCACUAGUAUUGUUCACAGGUGUGCACCUUUUUAUAUUGGCCGUAGUACAGCGUUCCUGCCAGCAACUUUAGUAUAAGAUAUGCCACUCUGGCCCCCAUCUGGUGGUGUAUUUAAGAAUGACCCUGUCGCAGACAAUUGCUGGUUCCAGCAUCUGAAAGAGGAUCUCAUUCCAUUUUAUAACAUUGUGAAGAGCUAUACUUUCGGACAUUAACUGUUGAAGAAAAAUAACUUUUAUAGAACAAACUUAAAAGCAAAUAAUAAAACAUUCACACCCCUGGAAAUCCUUUAGGUUUGUGAAUUUGAGACCUAGGAUUUGGUCAUUCACUCAAUAAGGUUGUUACUGAUAAGUGUAGAAAGAGCGACUUAUCCUGACAUACGCCAAUUCUUAACUUUGAAUUUGGGAGACUGAUGAAUGAGGAGCAGCUGCAAAUGCAUUUUAAAUGUGCAUGACUUAUUAUUUUAAUAUUAAAUGUCCAGAAAAGUCAGAAACUCAAAUAUAUUCUGUUUAAUAUAGACUAGGAAAAAAAAGAGAGCAAAUAUUAACAUCAGAGAAACUAGAUACAAUUAUUUGGAUCUUUGUUAAAAAAUCUAAAUGGUUGCAGAUACAUAUUCUGUCGAUCAACUAACAUGUAACAGCUCUUACUCUUUACAGACACAGGUUUGACUCACCCAUAGGUGCACGAUUAGACCUGUAUCCGCCGCAAAAUCCUCCUGCAAAGCUGCUGGUGAUAGGUAAAAGGUAGAUGUCAAAAAUGAAACCUUUUCGGGAUCGUCUCGGUGUGGCAACUCCACCCUCUUGAUCCUGGCAUCUCCCAGGUGUUUUCCAUCAGUCGCUAAUUAGUGCUCAUCCUGCGGUCACGCUCUCUCUACAUACUUCCACUCAGUUUGCGCGUUCGCGUGGAGGGUCCGCCAUAUUAAUUGCCGUUUCAAACCAAAACGGGAAGGAGAAGUGGGGAAGGAGAAGUGGUGGCAACAGCAAGCCACCAUGGAUGCCAGCUUGCAAACUACACUCAACUCUAGAUAAUCUGGGCAAUGGUAUCUGCAGUGGUGUAACUGGACCCCUCCAUACUGUAAGGAUGGCCACUGGUUUCUCCAGGCAAGGAUAACCACCAUCACCAAGGAGAACGCAGCCAUCUGGUGGAUACAGUGCCUGGCAGAAGAUGGGGCUGUUGCGCAAAACUCUGGCAUCAUGUACAGAGGCCUGGAUAACCGAUAAACACCUCAAGGAAUCUGCCACUUGCAGAGAUCGCCUGCAUUUGUAUUGAUGGAAACGGCUUGUAGUUAAUGUAAUCCCUGUGGUGCUGGUUCCCUGGAGGUUUAAUCCUGAUAUGGCUUCCAUCAAAGGCACCAGCAGCAUGGACAAAGGCUGGACUCUGUGCACGCUGGCAGAAGCCCUUUUGUGGCAGCUCAUCUGGUGUUGGCAGUGAAAUCAAGCGAGGUCAAGGAAAGAUGUGAAGUGUCACGGAGCGUGUUUGGACCCAAAUGCAGCACACGGUGAACCAGGAACGGUUGCAAACGACGUUUAAUGUCGACGCUUGGGAGGUACAGGGCAGGACAGCUGCUCAGCUGCUGUUUUCAUUUUAUCCAUAGUGUACAAUUAAACAGUGCCGGCGGAUGUUAUUGACAGGCAAUAGUGCGUCACUUUAAAUAUUACUGCCGCAAGGAAUUGUGGGACGCUAUUAUCUAAAUAGGUGUAUCCAUAAAGUGUUCCCUAUGCUAAAGGAGAUGAGAAAGGAAGCACCUUUCCUUAGCAUUUAGAGAAUUCGAAAAGCUCUUAACAUUGCUGCCAUUUAAUACUUCCGGGUCAUUUCACUCGGUUAAGAACCUUCCUCAGCUGCAGCCCAAGAGUCUGAGGAGUUUCAAGAUUGGGUCAAGACAGAACCCUAUUGUCCUGUUGUGUUACUGUGAUAUAACUUCGAUCAGAAUCCUUUUGGAUUUAGAAAUGUGAUAAACAACUAGUGAUUCAACUCAUUGCCAGGUCAUCAAAUGCUGACGUUUUGUCACAGCCCUCGGCACCACAAUUACGUAGGCUACAAAGGGAGAUUUUUGAAUGGGACUUUUACCUGGUUAAAUAAAACGUGGAGAAAUGGCGUACUCCAAAGCUGCAACUGACGUCAAAUGACAUUUAUGUAAGUUCCAAGUAUAUGAAAUGUCAACCACUUUAUUUCAAAUGUAUGCUAAAGAAGGUCACACAACAACGAAUCUCCUGAGUCAUCUUCACAGUUGUGUCCUGUUUAUCUGUUCACAAACAGCUCUGUGUGUGUGUGUGUGUGUGUGUGUGUGUGUCUUUCUGGCGUACAGGUUUACAAUAUUUUACCCUUUUUUUCCUCUCAAAGUUCUCUAUUUCUGGCAUUGGAAUGUAAUUACUCCAAAUCUGUAAACGUCAUGAAAGAAUAAUAACAUUGCAACUGUAAAAUCACCUAAAUAUUGUAAGGUUCACCGAUUCAUGUAAGGUUAUCAAUUCAGCAAUGAGAGAUGGAGAGGAAAAACAAGAAGAUUAAACGGAGUAGUCAAACUGUCACUAUAGUUCACGACAUCGGAGUCCAAUUUUCUUUAUUUAUUAUCAAAGAAUGUCCUGGCCAGCUGCUUCUCUCUUCAUGUCUUUUGUCUUUUGGUAGACACUCAAUACCCAAAAAUUCAGUGCAUUAUCAUGACUUCAUCACACUGGGGACAUCGUGUAGGCCUUAACAGGAUUCACUCUCUUUUGAAAACACGAGGCUUGCAUGAUAUUGUUUUAUUCCAAAUCCUUAAGCCAGAGUAAACCUUUCUGUGUGGCCGAAAGCAUCAGAGACAGCAUACGGUCUGAAAUGUUGAGAAUUUGUUGGUCUUUCAAGGUUUAUUAUAGCAGUACGCAGAUAGUGUGUGUUGACCUCUUUACAUGAUGUGGCUCUUACAGCACCAAGUUGAUACGCCACCAGCAUUCUGUCAUCAUCCUGUACUAUAGUUGUGUCUCCAGGAUGUUCUCAUGCCACCUUUUUUAAAUAUGACUCAUGUUUCAGGUCAAAUUGUUCACUUUUUUUAUCUUUAGCUGUGAAGAUUAAAAGAGGUUAACCACAUGGACUGUGUGUUUCAGUCAGGUGUUGUGAAAUAGUGGACGGAGAUGAUGCAGUAAAGAGUGAACGGAAGGAAGUUUUGGUGAAAUGUUUGUUGUGUCCUUGAUGCUGAACAUUGCUUAAGUGAAAUGGAGAAUUCAUUGCAGUACUUUAUGUACUCUUCUGUGCUGCGUAUGAAAAAUACACAGCGCUGGAAAUGCAAUAUUAAAAAAGCUUUAUUAAGUUGUUAAAACAAAUACAAAAUUUAAAUACAAAUUAACAUACACAUUAUUACUAAAUGCAAAAGAAAAUAGCCCUAU